UACGUAGGGCGCAAGCGUUGUCCGGAAUUAUUGGGCGUAAAGAGCUCGUAGGCGGCUUGUCACGUCGGUUGUGAAAGCCCGGGGCUUAACCCCGGGUCUGCAGUCGAUACGGGCAGGCUAGAGUGUGGUAGGGGAGAUCGGAAUUCCUGGUGUAGCGGUGAAAUGCGCAGAUAUCAGGAGGAACACCGGUGGCGAAGGCGGAUCUCUGGGCCAUUACUGACGCUGAGGCGCGAAAGCGUGGGGAGCAAACAGG
rnacentral:rRNA from 1 species